ensembl:lncRNA novel transcript
CCUGAGAAAAGGAACAGGAGGAUGAGAGGUUCAAUGUUUUACACAUUGCUGGUCUGAUAGCUCAGCUUCAUUCACAGAGAAAGACACUGAAGGAAUUAAAUCAGCUUGUCCAGCAGCAAGCUUCAGAGCCAAAUAUAAGCACACCUCAUAAUUCAGA